AGUGGCGGACGGGUGAGUAACGCGUGAGGAACCUGCCUUUCAGAGGGGGACAACAGUUGGAAACGACUGCUAAUACCGCAUGACACAUAGAGAUCGCAUGGUUUUUAUGUCAAAGAUUUAUCGCUGAAAGAUGGCCUCGCGUCUGAUUAGCUAGUUGGUGAGGUAACGGCCCACCAAGGCGACGAUCAGUAGCCGGACUGAGAGGUUGACCGGCCACAUUGGGACUGAGAUACGGCCCAGACUCCUACGGGAGGCAGCAGUGGGGAAUAUUGGGCAAUGGGCGCAAGCCUGACCCAGCAACGCCGCGUGAAGGAAGAAGGCUUUCGGGUUGUAAACUUCUUUUGUCGGGGACGAGUAGAAGACGGUACCUGGCGAAUAAGCCACGGCUAACUACGUGCCAGCAGCCGCGGUAAUACGUAGGUGGCAAGCGUUGUCCGGAUUUACUGGGUGUAAAGGGCGUGUAGCCGGGAAGGCAAGUCAGAUGUGAAAUCCACGGGCUUAACUCGUGAACUGCAUUUGAAACUACUUUUCUUGAGUAUCGGAGAGGCAAUCGGAAUUCCUAGUGUAGCGGUGAAAUGCGUAGAUAUCGGGAGGAACACCAGUGGCGAAGGCGGCCUUCUGGGCACCAACUGACGCUGAGGCUCGAAAGUGUGGGUAGCAAACAGGAUUUAGAUACCCUGGUAGUCCACACUGUAAACGAUGUUUAUUAGGUUGUUGGAGGAUUUGACCCCUUCAGUGCCGCAGUUAACACAAUAAGUAAUCCACCUGGGGAGUACGACCGCAAGGUUGAAACUCAAAGGAAUUGACGGGGGCCCGCACAAGCAGUGGAGUAUGUGGUUUAAUUCGACGCAACGCGAAGAACCUUACCAAGUCUUGACAUCCUGCGACGCACAUAGAAAUAUGUGUUUCCUUCGGGACGCAGAGACAGGUGGUGCAUGGUUGUCGUCAGCUCGUGUCGUGAGAUGUUGGGUUAAGUCCCGCAACGAGCGCAACCCUUAUGGUCAGUUACUACGCAAGAGGACUCUGGCCAGACUGCCGUUGACAAAACGGAGGAAGGUGGGGAUGACGUCAAAUCAUCAUGCCCUUUAUGACUUGGGCUACACACGUACUACAAUGGCGUUAAACAAAGAGAAGCAAGACCGCGAGGUGGAGCAAAACUCAGAAACAACGUCCCAGUUCGGACUGCAGGCUGCAACUCGCCUGCACGAAGUCGGAAUUGCUAGUAAUCGCAGAUCAGCAUGCUGCGGUGAAUACGUUCCCGGGCCUUGCACUCACCGCCCGUCA
rnacentral:rRNA from 1 species